rnacentral:lncRNA from 10 species
UCCCAGCUACUUGGGAGGCUGAGGUGGGAGGAUCGCUUGAGAUGGGGAGGUCGAGGCUGCAGUGAGCCAUGAUCAUGCCACUGCACUCCAGGCAACAAAACGAGACUUUGUAUCUUAAAAAAAAAAAGAAAGAAAAGAAAAAAGAAAAAGAAAAUUAACUGCAUAGUUCAUAUCAUUUACAUAUAUAUACAGAAAUCAAUUCUGGAUACAUUAAGGACUUCAGUGUGAAUCUUGAAAACUGAGCUGGUAAGAAGGGGGCAAGGGCAGAAGGGCAGAGAGGGAUGGUGGGAGUGAAGUAGGCACAACAAAGAUGAAGGCUCAUACUGGAAAAAGUGCCCAGAAUGUCCCAGGACAGUGAGAUGCUUCCUGGUCACUUGUUCUGCUUGGCCAAAGCAGGCAAAGAGGAGCAGGAGGAGAAAGGUCAGAUCAUCACCAGAAAGAGCUACCAGGGGUCAGGGUGAGGUCAAAGUAGGCACAGAAACAGCCAUGGGAGAAGGCAAUUAACUUUGGGCCAAGGAGAUCAGAGAGGGUGGUUAACAGGUUCUCCUGUGGUGCUGACUUUGAGUGCUGAUCACAGCAGCAGGAUGGGGGCUGUUGGUGGCCAUAAGUGGCCUCCCAUCAGACUCUCACCCAUGCCUGGAUUGGGACCUCUGCAUCUGGAAUGUCCCUUGGGAAAGCUAAAGAGUGGAUUCAGUACAGUCAAGUGAGCCACCUCCCACUAGAUAACUCCAGAGAACAGGGGCAGUGCCAGCAUCACCCCCAAUUCAGAAGGGCCCUACCCUUGAUUUAAUUCUCAGCUGUCUUGAAAUUCUUAAUAAUUUUUGCAAGGGGCCCUAUAUUUUCAUUUUGCAUUUGCCCCACAAGUCAAGAAGCAGGUUUUGCUAGGGGAUGACAGUUCCAGGGACCACUUCUCUGAACCCCAACCACCAAGGACAGUGGAUCGGUGCCAGGGUCCCAAGAAGUCCUGUCUGGCUUGGGUUCCAGCCACGUACAACAUAAACCAACUUCGUUUAGAAUGCCUUCCGUUGGUUUUCCACACAAUGGCAGGAGACAGUGCAGCUGACGAGCCAUCAAAGAGCAACAACAAAUAAUAACUGAACUAGUAAGGACACUUCAUGCUUUUUGGUUAGUCAAUUGCAAGUGAAAACAAGGCACAUUAUACUGGCCAAAGAAUAAUCUCUCAGAAUGAUGGAAGUCUAAUGUAGGGAAGCUUACAGCAAGGUGUUGUCCACACCCGCCCCAAGCAUCAUGAACCAGAACGUUCUUGCCAAGGGUGAUGGGGCUGCUAGAGGGAAGCAUUCACACCCUUUGACUCAGCGAUUGCAUUCUUGGCAAUGUGUCCCGGAAAGAAACACAAAGGAAAAACUUUACAUGCCAAAGAUGCUCAGGCAGCAGUUGGCUACAGUGAUCUGGGAAGAACCUAAAUGUCUAACAGAAGGAAAAGGCAUUCCACAGCCUUCCAACGAAUAAACACAAAGCCUGCGAUAACGUGGGAAAGUGUUUAUGAUGUACAGCCAUGUGAAAAUGACAUUUUUUUUUUUUGGAUCUCAAUGAUAUUAAAAGGAUGUUUGUAUAAAGGAAAAACAUUGACCAAAAAUAGAGACCUAAAAACAGUGGCAAAGGGAUAAUGGCGCUAUGGAAACGCCAUGCUCUUGAACAUCUGGAAUUGUUGUCUAAACAGUAAAUAACCCUUAAAAAUAAUGAAUGCCUAGGGCACAGAAGAUUGGUCCUGCUGAAUCUCAGAAAGUCUGGCCAAAAACAAAGCAUGUGUGCUGGGGGACAGGUGAGGAGUGGGAUUUGGGGAAGGGAUUUUGCCAGGCAGAUGAGCAGUUACCAAAUGGUUAAUGAACUAAGAGUCACAUUCCAGGGGCCCUGUCCCGUAC